rnacentral:rRNA from 1 species
GAUGAACGCUGGCGGCGUGCCUAAUACAUGCAAGUCGAGCGAACGGACGAGAAGCUUGCUUCUCUGAUGUUAGCGGCGGACGGGUGAGUAACACGUGUAUAACCUACCUAUCAGACUGGGAUAACUUCGGGAAACCGUAGCUAAUACCGGAUAAUAUUUUGAACCGCAUUGUUCAAAAGUGAAAGACGGUCUUGCUGUCACUUAUAGAUGGAUCCGCGCUGCAUUAGCUAGUUGGUAAGGUAACGGCUUACCAAGGCAACGAUGCAUAGCCGACCUGAGAGGGUGAUCGGCCACACUGGAACUGAGACACGGUCCAGACGCCUACGGGAGGCAGCAGUAGGGAAUCUUCCGCAAAGGGCGAAAGCCUGACGGAGCAACGCCGCGUGAGUGAUGAAGGUCUUCGGAUCGUAAAACUCUGUUAUUAGGGAAGAACAUAUGUGUAAGUAACUGUGCACAUCUUGACGGUACCUAAUCAGAAAGCCACGGCUAACUACGUG